rnacentral:rRNA from 1 species
CCUACGGGAGGCAGCAGUAGGGAAUCUUCCGCAAUGGACGAAAGUCUGACGGAGCAACGCCGCGUGAACGAUGAAGGCCUUCGGGUCGUAAAGUUCUGUUGUUAGGGAAGAACAAGUGCUAGUUGAAUAAGCUGGCACCUUGACGGUACCUAACCAGAAAGCCACGGCUAACUACGUGCCAGCAGCCGCGGUAAUACGUAGGUGGCAAGCGUUGUCCGGAAUUAUUGGGCGUAAAGCGCGCGCAGGCGGUUUCUUAAGUCUGAUGUGAAAGCCCCCGGCUCAACCGGGGAGGGUCAUUGGAAACUGGGAAACUUGAGUGCAGAAGAGGAAAGUGGAAUUCCAAGUGUAGCGGUGAAAUGCGUAGAGAUUUGGAGGAACACCAGUGGCGAAGGCGACUUUCUGGUCUGUAACUGACGCUGAGGCGCGAAAGCGUGGGGAGCAAACAGGAUUAGAUACCCUGGUAGUCCACGCUGUAAACGAUGAGUGCUAAGUGUUAGAGGGUUUCCGCCCUUUAGUGCUGAAGUUAACGCAUUAAGCACUCCGCCUGGGGAGUACGGUCGCAAGACUGAAACUCAAAGGAAUUGACGGCUGAGACNGCGACGACGACGACGAGGAGGAG